rnacentral:rRNA from 1 species
AUUGAACGCUGGCGGAAUGCUUUACACAUGCAAGUCGAACGGCAGCACGGACUUCGGUCUGGUGGCGAGUGGCGAACGGGUGAGUAAUGUAUCGGAACGUGCCCAGUCGUGGGGGAUAACGUAGUGAAAAUUACGCUAAUACCGCAUACGAUCUAUGGAUGAAAGCGGGGGAUCGCAAGACCUCGCGCGAUUGGAGCGGCCGAUAUCAGAUUAGGUAGUUGGUGGGGUAAAGGCCCACCAAGCCAACGAUCUGUAGCUGGUCUGAGAGGACGACCAGCCCACCGGGGACUGAGACACGGUCCAGACUCCUACGGGAGGCAACAGUGGGGAAUUUUGGACAAUGGGCGAAAGCCUGAUCCAGCCAUUCCGCGUGCAGGAUGAAGGCCCUCGGGUUGUAAACUGCUUUUGUACAGAACGAAAAGGUUUCUACUAAUACUGGGAGCUCAUGACGGUACUGUAAGAAUAAGCACCGGCUAACUACGUGCCAGCCGCCGCAGUAA